rnacentral:rRNA from 1 species
CAGCAGCAGCCGCGGGAAUACAGAGGGUGCAAGCGUUAUCCGGAAUUAUUGGGCGUAAAGCGCGCGUAGGCGGUUUCUUAAGUCUGAUGUGAAAGCCCACGGCUCAACCGUGGAGGGUCAUUGGAAACUGGGAAACUUGAGUGCAGAAGAGGAAAGUGGAAUUCCAUGUGUAGCGGUGAAAUGCGCAGAGAUAUGGAGGAACACCAGUGGCGAAGGCGACUUUCUGGUCUGUAACUGACGCUGAUGUGCGAAAGCGUGGGGAUCAAACAGGAUUAGAUACCCCGGUAGUCCCUGUCUCUUAUAU